UACAGAGGUCUCAAGCGUUGUUCGGAUUCAUUGGGCGUAAAGGGUGCGUAGGCGGCGCGGUAAGUCGGGUGUGAAAUCUCGGGGCUUAACUCCGAAACUGCAUUCGAUACUGCCGUGCUUGAGGACUGGGAGAGGAGACUGGAAUUUACGGUGUAGCGGUGAAAUGCGUAGAUAUCGUAAGGAAGACCAGUGGCGAAGGCGGGUCUCUGGACAGUUCCUGACACUGAGGCACGAAGGCCAGGGGAGCAAACGGGG
rnacentral:rRNA from 1 species